rnacentral:rRNA from 1 species
UAAUACGUAGGAAUCUGCCCAUUUGUGGGGGAUAACCCGGCGAAAGCCGGGCUAAUACCGCAUACGCUCUACGGAGGAAAGCGGGGGAUCGUAAGACCUCGCGCUAAUGGAUGAGCCUACGUCGGAUUAGCUAGUUGGUAGGGUAACGGCCUACCAAGGCGACGAUCCGUAGCUGGUCUGAGAGGACGAUCAGCCACACUGGAACUGAGACACGGUCCAGACUCCUACGGGAGGCAGCAGUGGGGAAUUUUGGACAAUGGGCGCAAGCCUGAUCCAGCCAUGCCGCGUGAGUGAAGAAGGCCUUCGGGUUGUAAAGCUCUUUCGGCGGGGACGAAACGGUUCGUGCCAACACCGCGAACUAAUGACGGUACUCGCAGAAGAAGCACCGGCUAACUACGUGCCAGCAGCCGCGGUAAUACGUAGGGUGCAGGCGUUAAUCGGAAUUACUGGGCGUAAAGCGUGCGCAGGCGGCUCUUUAAGUCAGAUGUGAAAGCCCCGGGCUUAACCUGGGAAUUGCGUUUGAAACUGGAGAGCUGGAGUGUGGAAGAGGGGGGUGGAAUUCCAGGUGUAGCAGUGAAAUGCGUAGAGAUCUGGAGGAACACCGAUGGCGAAGGCAGCCCCCUGGGCUAACACUGACGCUCAUGCACGAAAGCGUGGGGAGCAAACAGGAUUAGAUACCCUGGUAGUCCACGCCCUAAACGAUGUCAACUGGUUGUCGGGGAAGCAAUUCCUUGGUUACCGAAGCUAACGCGUGAAGUUGACC